UCGAGUACUCGAACAACACUAAUCUUGGUCCAAGUGGUCAGACAUGGUUUGCUGAUUGUUACACAGUACGCAUGUAAAUUUUGUGUGCUCCUUACAAAUCGGUCUGCUACAUACUGCUCAUUGAGUCUACGAAAUGUAUUCACAUUUUAAAUUUGAUAAUGACAAAUCGUACACUUAGGCCGACUACUGCUGCUUGAGCUUAGAUCAACAUUGACAGCAGUCUUUUGUUUCCAGACAAUUUCAUAAUUUGUGACCAUAAGUCAUCGAGAUUAAGAUAGUUGCUGCGUAUAACUCCAGCUAAAUACAAAAGUCCGAAUAGUGCAUUUAUUUCAAUGUCUGAUGUUAUACCAGAAAUUGGUGCAGUCAUAUGAUGUAAUAUAUUCUGGGGAUUCUCUUUUUUUUUUUUUUUGUAUGCAGCAAUUUGGGAAAUAAAGAAGUCAGUCCCCAAACUAAGUAUUCUUCUUUUGUAUAAAUAUUCCAUAAGAGGAAUGGCUGUAUAAUAAUUAUCAAAAAAUAUUUGAUUUUUAUUAACUGGAAUAUUUCUUCUUAAUCGUACUAUAACAUUGGACGAAGCCCCAAAAUCUGGUUAAUUUAAUUUUUGAAACAUUAAAUAAUUUUCUUGUCCUGAAUAUAUUUCGAAACUGUAUACAUAACCUUGGACAUCUGUCAAAACAAAAAGUUUGUAUCCCCAUUUAUGUGGUUUGUCAGGUAAGUAUUGUUUCAUAUAACUAUGGGCUUUAGUACCAUAUAAUUGUUCGUCAAGCACCAAAUUUUGUUUGCAAGGAAUGGAUGAUAAGCAACUAUUAAGAUAAUAAAUAAGAGGCUGCAACUUGUGAAGUCCAUUAUGGUUAGGGUCAUUUAAUAGUAGCAUAGAUUAAUUAUUAUUAAAAUGCAAGAUACUUCUAAUAAGCUCUAAGUGGUUUCUAUUCAUAGCAUUAAAAAUAAUCGGUACACUUAAAGCCUCUGAUCAAGUCGCGUACUUUUGGCACAUGCAUUAUUGAAGCCUAUACACAAAUCCCUAUAUACUUUUUUAAUUUAUCUAUAGUAUCUGUUAGUGGUUUA